CGGAGUAUCGAUUUUAUGGUUAGUUGUCGUACAUAUGAUAACCUUCCCCGGUGGCCAUCUUGAUGACGUCACGACGCGCGCACACCAGCUGACUCAGUGACGGUCUGGCAGUGGUGGCGAGUGGAGGUGCGCGCGAGUGCCGGGCGGGCCUCCAUAUUAUAAAUCCUAGGAUGAAAUUGAAUUAUCUUUUCUUUCUUUGCUUACUUCCCUAACCGCCGCCAUGAAACGGUUCACCAAGAUCAUGGUGGACGGCCUGCGGUCAACGGUACAGCCUCCAAAGGUUGAAGAAAUUGCCGUUGUGGAGACUCUACAGGCGGAGGCUUUUCAGAUCGCUAAGACCGUGCGACAUGGCUUCCCCUACCAGCCCACCGCCAUCGCUUUCGACCCCAUACAGAGGAUCC